rnacentral:rRNA from 1 species
GAUGAACGCUGACGGCGUGCCUAAUACAUGCAAGUCGAGCGAAGCGGGAACGGGUGAGUAACACGUGGCUAACAUCCUAUAAGACUGGGAUAACUUCGGGAAACCGGAGCUAAACCGGAUACUUAUCGAUGGAUCAGCGCUGCAUUAGCUAGUUGGUAAGGGAACGGUGUACAAAGGCAAGUAUGCAUAGCAGACCUGCGAGGGUGAUCGCCCAAUCUGGAACGGAGACCGGGUCCAGACUCCUACGGUAGGCCGCAGUAGGGAAUAUGACGCAAUGGGCGAAAGCCUGACGGAGCAACGCCGCGUGAGUUAUGAAGGUCGUCGGAUCGUAAAACUCUGUUAUUAGGGAAGCGGUACCUAAUCAGAAAGCCACGGCUAACUACGUGCCAGCAGCCGCGGUAAGUC